GAUAGGACCUAGAAGCCUUAUUCUCAAUGGCGAAGCCAUUAACGAAAAAGGAGGUGGAAUAUUUUCUCCUAAAGCAGGCUCAGGAUAUUACGUAAUUACGCCUUUCAGAUUGGAGGAUCCAUUACUAUCAUGGUGAAUCGUGGAUGGAUUCCUAGAAGUGAUCGUUCAACGUUUAAAAUGGAAAAGAAGAUUACAGAUCCCAUAGAAAUUAUUGGCAUUAUCAGAGCAACAAAAAA
rnacentral:lncRNA from 13 species